AGUGAACGCUGGCGGUAGGCCUAACACAUGCAAGUCGAACGGCAGCACAGUAAGAGCUUGCUCUUACGGGUGGCGAGUGGCGGACGGGUGAGGAAUACAUCGGAAUCUACUUUUUCGUGGGGGAUAACGUAGGGAAACUUACGCUAAUACCGAAUACGACCUACGGGUGAAAUCAGGGGAUCUUCGGACCUUGCGCGAUUGAAUGAGCCGAUGUCGGAUUAGCUAGUUGGCGGGGUAAAGGCCCACCAAGGCGACGAUCCGUAGCUGGUCUGAGAGGAUGAUCAGCCACACUGGAACUGAGACACGGUCCAGACUCCUACGGGAGGCAGCAGUGGGGAAUAUUGGACAAUGGGCGCAAGCCUGAUCCAGCCAUACCGCGUGGGUGAAGAAGGCCUUCGGGUUGUAAAGCCCUUUUGUUAGGAAAGAAAAGCAGCAGGUUAAUACCCCGCUGUUCUGACGGUACCCAAAGAAUAAGCACCGGCUAACUUCGUG
rnacentral:rRNA from 1 species